rnacentral:rRNA from 1 species
UACGGAGGGUGCAAGGCGUUGUCCGGAAUCACUGGGCGUAAAGGGCGCGUAGGUGGUGGCUUAAGCGUGCGGUGAAAGCUCGGAGCUCAACUCCGAGUCGGCCGUGCGAACUGGGCUCACUGGAGCAUAGUAGAGGCAGGUGGAAUUCCGGGUGUAGCGGUGGAAUGCGUAGAGAUCCGGAAGAACACCGGUGGCGAAGGCGGCCUGCUGGGCUAUGGCUGACACUGAGGCGCGACAGCGUGGGGAGCAAACAGGG